rnacentral:rRNA from 1 species
AGAAGCGAGCCUGCGAAGGCAAGCGGAUCUCUUAAAGCUGUUCUCAGUUCGGACUGCAGUCUGCAACUCGACUGCACGAAGCUGGAAUCGCUAGUAAUCGCGGAUCAGCACGCCGCGGUGAAUACGUUCCCGGGCCUUGUACACACCGCCCGUCACACCAUGGGAGUUGGUAACGCCCGAAGUCAGUGACCUAACCGCAAGGGAGGAGCUGCCGAAGGUGGGACCAGUAACUGGGGUGAAGUCGUAACAAGGUAAC